GGGUCCAUGCGGCAGGCCUACAACAUGCAAGUCGAGCGGAUGACAGGAGCUUGCUCCUGAAUUCAGCGGCGGACGGGUGAGUAAUGCCUAGGAAUCUGCCUGGUAGUGGGGGACAACGUUUCGAAAGGAACGCUAAUACCGCAUACGUCCUACGGGAGAAAGCAGGGGACCUUCGGGCCUUGCGCUAUCAGAUGAGCCUAGGUCGGAUUAGCUAGUUGGUGAGGUAAUGGCUCACCAAGGCGACGAUCCGUAACUGGUCUGAGAGGAUGAUCAGUCACACUGGAACUGAGACACGGUCCAGACUCCUACGGGAGGCAGCAGUGGGGAAUAUUGGACAAUGGGCGAAAGCCUGAUCCAGCCAUGCCGCGUGUGUGAAGAAGGUCUUCGGAUUGUAAAGCACUUUAAGUUGGGAGGAAGGGCAUUAACCUAAUACGUUAGUGUUUUGACGUUACCGACAGAAUAAGCACCGGCUAACUCUGUGCCAGCAGCCGCGGUAAUACAGAGGGUGCAAGCGUUAAUCGGAAUUACUGGGCGUAAAGCGCGCGUAGGUGGUUUGUUAAGUUGGAUGUGAAAGCCCCGGGCUCAACCUGGGAACUGCAUU
rnacentral:rRNA from 1 species